rnacentral:rRNA from 1 species
GAUGAACGCUAGCGGGAGGCCUAACACAUGCAAGCCGAGCGGUAUUGUUUCUUCGGAAAUGAGAGAGCGGCGUACGGGUGCGUAACACGUGUGCAACCUGCCUUUAUCUGGGGGAUAGCCUUUCGAAAGGAAGAUUAAUACCCCAUAAUAUAUUGAACGGCAUCGUUUAAUACUGAAAGCUUCGGCGGAUAGAGAUGGGCAUGCGCAAGAUUAGCUAGUUGGUGAGGCAACGGCUCACCAAGGCGAUGAUCUUUAGGGGGCCUGAGAGGGUGAUCCCCCACACUGGUACUGAGACACGGACCAGACUCCUACGGGAGGCAGCAGUGAGGAAUAUUGGUCAAUGGGUGCAAGCCUGAACCAGCCAUCCCGCGUGAAGGACGACUGCCCUAUGGGUUGUAAACUUCUUUUGUAUAGGGAUAAACCUACCCUCGUGAGGGGAGCUGAAGGUACUAUACGAAUAAGCACCGGCUAACUCCGUGCCAGCCGCCGCCGUAA